rnacentral:tRNA from 1 species
GACGAGGUGGCUGCGUGGUUAAGGCGAUGGAUGGCUGAUUGUUCUCUGCACGCGUGGCUUCGAAUCCCAUCCUUGUCA